rnacentral:rRNA from 1 species
UCUGCAACUCGACUACAUGAAGCUGGAAUCGCUAGUAAUCGCAGAUCAGAAUGCUGCGGUGAAUACGUUCCCGGGUCUUGUACACACCGCCCGUCACACCAUGGGAGUCGGAAAUGCCCGAAGCCGGUGACCAAACCAAUAAGGAAGGAGCCGUCGAAGGCAGGUCUGAUAACUGGGGUGAAGUCGUAACAAGGUAGC